rnacentral:rRNA from 1 species
AUUCCCUAGUAGCGGCGAGCGAAGCGGGAAGAGCUCAAAUUUAUAAUCUGGCACCUUCGGUGUCCGAGUUGUAAUCUCUAGAAAUGUUUUCCGCGUUGGACCGCACACAAGUCUGUUGGAAUACAGCGGCAUAGUGGUGAGACCCCCGUAUAUGGUGCGGACGCCCAGCGCUUUGUGAUACAUUUUCGAAGAGUCGAGUUGUUUGGGAAUGCAGCUCAAAUUGGGUGGUAAAUUCCAUCUAAAGCUAAAUAUUGGCGAGAGACCGAUAGCGAACAAGUACCGUGAGGGAAAGAUGAAAAGCACUUUGGAAAGAGAGUUAACAGUACGUGAAAUUGUUGGAAGGGAAACGCUUGAAGUCAGACUUGCUUGCCGAGCAAUCGGUUUGCAGGCCAGCAUCAGUUUUCCGGGAUGGAUAAUGGUAGAGAGAAGGUAGCAGUUUCGGCUGUGUUAUAGCUCUCUGCUGGAUACAUCUUGGGGGACUGAGGAACGCAGUGUGCCUUUGGCGGGGGUUUCGACCUCUUCACACUUAGGAUGCUGGUGGAAUGGCUUUAAACGACCCGUCUUG